rnacentral:rRNA from 1 species
AUUGAACGCUGGCGGCAUGCCUAACACAUGCAAGUCGAGCGGAGCGUCGGACGGGUGAGUAAUGCCUAGGCAUCUGCCUGGUAGUGGUGGAUCACGUCCGGAAACGGGCGCUAAUACCGCAUACUUUCCGUUGAGCCUAGGUCGGAUUAGCUAGUUGGUGGGGUAAAGGACUACCAAGGCUACGCGCCGUAACUGGUCUGAGAGGAUGAUCAGUCACACUGGAACUGAGAAACGGUCAAGACUCCUACGGGAGGCAGCAGGGGGGAAUAUUGGACAAUGGGCGAAAGCCUGAGCCAGCCAUGCCGGGUGUGGGAAGAAGGUCUGCGGAUUGUAAAGUACUUUAAGCGGGGAGGCGUUACCCGAAGAAGAAGCAACGGCUAACUCCGUGCCAGCAGCCGCGGUAAUAC